UUGUUGUGAAAGCAAAACUACUUUGUUUGGCCUUCCAAAAGAGGACAAUAUCCGCUUUGUCAUGCCUAGAGCUGAUCCGUGCUGGUUGCUGAGGAAAUACAUCAACUUUGCACUGUGGAUCGCCAGAUCUGCCUUUACCAUAGACGAAGCAGAGUCCAGCCCGGGGUCGUCACAUGUGGUUGCCGCAAACCUUUCUCAAGUUCGCCGGCUGUUCCUCACUCAAGCCCGCCAUGUGUGACACUGUGUGAUGCAUUUUAUGGAGCACUGUUUCCUGACCUGCAGAGUAGCCUACAAUGGGUCUGUGCUCAAAGGCUGUUCUAUAAAGUGGAGCAAUUCCAACUUUGCAAGGACAGUCUGGUGCUUAUGACUCAUAGCCUAUAUUCAUGAGUCCGACACCACUUCAUUGUCUGGCUAUUCUGAGACUCUGUCUCAAUUCUGGACAAAGAGGACAAUGGGUUAGACACCUGUUACCAGUCUAUGAGCAUAACAGAUACAUCAUCCUGCUGCAAUGAGUGCCUGUGGACACACUCAUCACCCAAUGUCCUUGGAAGGCCCCUGUAGAGUUCUUAGUGGGGUCUGAACAGAUGGUUCCUGCUGAACCCCCCACAUCGGACACUGUCUUCACACUGCAUCAUUGUCACUUAAGUCAGUUGCAUGGCUUUGAGGGGGGAGAAUUGAAGAUAUCUAAAAUAAAUUAGAUUAAAGAACCAGGUUACUGCAAGAAUUCUUAGAGUGCAAUAUCAGAAACAACCCAAAACUGCCUUUGAUAUUUACAAAAUAGACACAUAA